ensembl:snoRNA
GACCUUCUGUAGUUCAUAAAUGUGAUGAUCGGGUUUUCAUGGGCAUGUGUUCGAUGUACCCUACUCAACCCUUGUUACAAGGUUAUCUCUUUAUCUGUCUGGAA